UACGACUACAUAUCAGGCAUAUCAAUAAGCGGAGGAAAAGAAACUAACUAGGAUUCCCUUAGUAACGGCGAGUGGAAGCGGGAAGAGCUCAAAUUUGAAAUCUUCAAGGUUCUACCUUGACGAAUUGUAGUUUAAAGAAGUGUUUUCUGUUAGAUGAGUAGCAAAAGUUCCUUGGAAUAGGACAUCAUAGAGGGUGAGAAUCCCGUAUUUGACCAUUAUUUUCAACUGUGUGAUACACUUUCAAAGAGUCGGAUUGUUUGGGAAUGCAGUCCAAAAUGGGUGGUAAAUUUCAUCUAAAGCUAAAUAUUGGCGAGAGACCGAUAGCGAACAAGUACCGUGAGGGAAAGAUGAAAAGAACUUUGAAAAGAGAGUUAAACAGUACGUGAAAUUGUCAAAAGGGAAGCGUUUGACACCAGUGUUGUUUCUACGAAAAUCAAUUUAUGAUGGCUUGAUGCUAAGCUUUAAGACUUUAUCCGCUUGUUGUUUAGUUUUCUUGUCUUUGUGAAUGCACUUUUCGUGGAACAAGUCAACAUCAAUUUCUUUUGCUGUAAAAGGGUAAGAGGAAGGUGGCUUCGGCUUCGGUUGAAGUGUUUAUAGCCUUUUAUCUCUGCAGUCGGAGAGAUUGAGGUCUGCAGCGUAGACUCUUCGGGGUUAGAUACGUCGGUGCUAAGCUAUAGCUUCUCAUAGACAACUUGUUGACUAUGUUUAGUCAUGUGGCUUACCCGCUGGCGCUAUUUUACCUACGCUUAGGAUGUUGAGCGCAUGUCUCUCUCU
rnacentral:rRNA from 1 species